GAGAACACCCCAUUCCCUUUUCCUCCUUUCGGUUAGGGUUUCUAAACCCAUUUUUUCCGCCGUCAUCGUGGCUCUUUGAAGCCGCCGAGGCUUCCACCGUCGACAGUGGUCAGGGCCACCAAGAUCUAGGUGAGUUUUUCUUUUUUAUUUUUUAUUUAAAAACGAUUUAUAAUGAAAAUAAUGAGAUUAAAUCAAAAGAAAACAAAAAAAGGAAAGAAAUAAACUAAAAGAAUAAGAGAAAUAGAGAUUAAAAUCAACAUUUCUUUCUUCUGUUGUUUUGCUUUUUGAUUUUCAAUAUACUUGUCUAACAGUCUUUUUCUUUUUUUCAAAACAGAAUAACCAAAGAAAAUCAAAAAAACCAGAAAUCCCUCAUCCCUCUUCACAUGGUAAAUUCGGCUUUUAUAGUCGUUUGUACAUGUCAUAGCUUUUUCUUUUUUACUUUUCUUAUUUCUCUGCCUUGUUACUAUUCAAUCACUGUUUUGUAUUGUCUUGCUUUUGCUUGCUAUUGUUUCUUUGCUAAUUUGGUCUUCUUUUGCAGGGAUGGCAGAGGGUGGUUGAAGGUAGAAGGCCCUAGGUGCGACGCACCUAGGGUUUGAAAUUUUAGAUUUUUCUUCUCUUUUUUUGAUUUGGGCUAUUGGGGUUAGUUUGGGCUUGGGUUGGUGUUUAGUUUUUUUAAGGGUAUUGGGUUGGCUGAUAGGUUUAGCUAAUGUUGGGUCUAGGUUUUAUUGGGUAGUUGGGUUUUGAGUUUUAUGUAAAUGGGCCAAAAUUAACCUACAAUAAUAUUUAUGUCUUUUAACAUCUUUACUUUUUCAAAAUUAUAACAUACACUUACCAGGAGGUUGAAACAUCCACCAAUUAACCCCAAACCCUAGCUUAAAGUUUAACGAAGAACGAGAGAAUAUUUGGGUUUAAGAAAAAGAACCUGAAUGUAGAAUAGAAGUAAAAAAAGUCAUCUUAAUGUUCCCUUCUUACCAUAUAUAUAUUCAGUUACUUUUAGUGAAUCUUGACAAAUGUUAAAUGCAUAUAGAAAUUGUCCCUUCAAUGCCCAACAAAGAUUGAGAGAAAUAUAAAAAGAGAAUCCGAUGCAAAUGUUAUUUGGCUUGCCAAUCCAUUCGGUUAACUCCAAACUAGACAUGUUACAAAACUCACUUUGCACAUCGUUCGAGCAAAUCAGACGUACAAUACAUUUAGCAGUAACUCUCAUAAGUCGUACUCUUGAAGACGAUCUAAUCUCUCAAUAUUUUCUCAUACAUUUGAUGUGUGUCAAAACAG
rnacentral:lncRNA from 1 species